CACGUAAUCAACGUUGGAUUACUCAAAAUAUAUUUACGUGGCAUAGAAUGUAAGGUGGGUAUACAAAUACCCUCGUUUCAUUAGUUUAUUCAACAGCGAACAAAAAGUAAUUCGGUUUGCGGAAGUACCCAGAGAGAAAAUGUAACGACAGAAAUGUUUUCUGUGUAUUUUCAUUUGAAUGCGUUGGCAACCGGAAGCGUUUUAACGGCGAGUGGCUGCCUUAUUUUGUUACAACCGACGCUGAAAAUGGGCAGAGGGAUAGGCAAAAGGAUUGAGUUGCAAGAGGCUACGACUUUGGAGAGUUUGUCAGUCGAAAUUAGGGCUUCGACGGAUUAAAACGCACACGGAAAGGAAACGCCGAGGUAAGAGAAAGUGUGCGCUAAGUACACGGCGACGAAAUGUUUAAAGACACUUAAGCUCGACGAAUUGCGUAUAAAUAUUCAUAGCAGGAGAUGCGAUAGGUAUACAUAAGUAGAAGAAAGAGACAAAAGCCUGGCGAAAGGAUUAGAACUCAUCAACAUUUUCGUCGUUAGCUCUCAUUUUCCCUGCUGUACACCCGUUGUGUUUUAAUCGUUCAAGCCCCUGUGCAAUGAUUGAUAAAUCGUAAGCCGCACCUAACCCUUUUCAUUAUACACAGCGACAUUUUAACGGAAAAACCCAAGUAUAUAUGUUUAAUAUUGAGGUGUUUACGGUGGGGAGAAAUAAUCAUUAUCGUUUGCAAGUCUAAACUACGCGUCGACAAAAAAAAUAAAGGAUUUUGUUGAAGAAACAUCAGAAAAGAUUGUUAAAUUUUUUUUCUAGACACCCUCUUCGCACGGAAAAACAAGAGAAAAAAACGUUUAACCCUACCGGCUACUGAUAAUUUAUACAGAUCUCUUGGUUUAUAAAGGGAAAAACAAAAUCCCAACAUUAAUCAACACGGUCGAAUGGGUGAACAUAAAACGCAAACACAAGCAAUUGGAAAAUGCAACUAACCUAACCGAUUACACGUGCCAUUUCUUUUUAACUACCAUAUUAAAAAAUAUAUGUUUUAUUUUAAGAAAUUCAAUAAAGUUCCAGUAUAGUCUGAAAUUAUAAUUUUUAAUACAAAUUUCUUUUUUCAUACAGAGCAAUAUUUAAAGUUAGCCUAAUUUAAUUAGGCUAUGAAAGAAAAUGUGAUUGUUAAAAGUUAAUUUUUUUUUUUUGCUCAUUACUAAAAAAAAAUUCUCAAAAUGAUAGA